rnacentral:piRNA from 1 species
UGUAGGCAGAUACAGAUUCUGAGGUGGUC